CAAGGAAUUUUGUGCAAUGGGCGAAAGCCUGACACAGCAACGCCGCGUGGGGGAUGAAUGCCUUCGGGUUGUAAACCCCUUUUCUCGGGGAAGAAUAAUGACGGUACCUGAGGAAUAAGCCUUGGCUAACUACGUGCCAGCAGCCGCGGUAAUACGUAGAAGGCAAGCGUUAUUCGGAUUUACUGGGCGUAAAGAGGGCGUAGGCGGCCUUUCAAGUCGGAUGUGAAAUCUCUCGGCUUAACCGGGAGGGGUCAUCCGAUACUGUUGGGCUAGAGGACAGCAAGAGGAGGUGGAAUUCCCGGUGUAGUGGUGAUAUGCGUAGAUAUCGGGAGGAACACCAGUGGCGAAGGCGGCCUCCUGGGCUGUUUCUGACGCUGAGGCCCGAAAGUGUGGGUAGCGAACAGAAUUAGAUACUCUGGUAGUCCACACCGUAAACGAUGGAUACUAGGUAUGGGGAGUAUCGACCCUCUCUGUAUCGAAGCUAACGCUUUAAGUGUCCCGCCUGGGGAGUACGGCCGCAAGGCUA
rnacentral:rRNA from 1 species